GUGAAUAAAGGUAUAAAUUUUAAUUUGAAGUAAAAAGAUAUUGCCGAUUAUAUAUCUUUUGGCCGUUUGUUCGCAUUCUACGCACACGGUUGUAUAAUUUUCUAAGAUAAUUAAAUAUUUCUAAAUGAGGUUAUAUACAUAUUUCGCGAGAAUCUGAACAAUCUGAACUUGGCAAUGUUAGGAGGAUAAUCGAUCGCGGGAUGAGAGAGCGUCGAUUAAUUGAUCAACGCGCCUAUUUAAGAUGCAAAUUGCGUCAGAUGUCGCGCGAGACAAACGAUUGCGAGAUGCUGCGGGACGAGACGGACGCGACGCAGAUCAGCUGGAGAGAUCGAUCGAUCGCGAAAUUCUUGCGCUUGUCAUCCGCACGCAUCACGGUUGGUAGGGUCAGUGAUCGAGACAAAGCCAUGCUGCUUUAUUUACGCCAUCAUGGGACUUGAACGAACAGAGAGCGAUUCGAGGAUUGUCGAUGUUCCUAGGUACAAUCUUCUCGAAAUUGACGUCUCCGAGAAUUAAUCUGCAUUAAUCACCUGCGAACUGCGUUUCCCCGAACUCCGACGAGAGAUAGCGUGCGCUGGUGCCAGAGCGUCAAGUUCCUUCCGCUUCUUCAUCUUCUUCAUCGGCUGACGAAGCGGCACUGUCACUGCCACUGAGUCCAUCUCAAGUAAAACCAGGCCGCCUAUCUUUCGAAAUAUCUUUAGCACGACUCGUUUCCAGGAAAAUAUUUUUUCACUCGAAGCCGUCUAAAACCAACUGCUCCUAUUUACACGCGAUUACAUGCGAAAACCCAAGAUAUUUAAAGGGUUUCUAACAUCAUGGUAACUCGACACGGCCGUCUGGAUGGAAAAAUGUCGCGACACAAUUACGACUGCGGCCCUGAGCUUGAUAAGAUAUCGAGAUACUGAAGAAUUCGGAAUCGGGCAAUGGCGGGAAUGACAUGAAGGAGCCGCUCCGACAUUCAAUCCCGAAGGCACCUGCACCUGCACGAGGUUCGCCAAAGAACUGAUAGCGUGGGCGUCGUACCUUCGAAGACACAGACACGAGGACGUACGUGUACCUGUGUGCAUCGGCACCUUUGAGAGGGGGAUUGAAGUCUUCUACCUUCCUACUUCAUUGGCUGGAGUCAAGGCAUUUCGAACCGGCCUCUUUUCACUCUUCGCUCUUCGUCGCGAAUCAUCGCUCUUUCUAUUAUUCUCUGUAUAAAAAUAACAAGAUAGGCUCUUAAGCGAUCAGAAGAACAGUUUAUAUACGUAUAUCGUUGAGAGAGAACUUAAUUAAAUUAUAAAUUAAGCAAUUUAAGAUAAUUAAUCUCAAUGUUUUAUAUUAAUCAUUCAUAAUUAAUUAAUCUAUAAUUAAUUAUGAUUAAUUUAUUUAUAAUUAUUGAUAAUAUGAUUGCUGAGUCCUUAAAAAUUGAAAAUCACGAAUUUUUAUUCAGCAACAAUCGAGAUUAACUAGUGCAUUUCAACAAAAACAAUUUACUUUGAUC